GACGAACGCUGGCGGCGUGCUUAACACAUGCAAGUCGAGCGGUAAGGCCCCUCCGGGGGCACACGAGCGGCGAACGGGUGAGUAACACGUGAGCAACCUGCCCCUGACUCCGGGAUAAGCGGCGGAAACGCCGUCUAAUACCGGAUACGACCCUCCGGCUCAUGCCGUGGGGGUGGAAAGUUUUUUCGGUUGGGGAUGGGCUCGCGGCCUAUCAGCUUGUUGGUGGGGUAAAGGCCUACCAAGGCGAUUACGGGUAGCCGGCCUGAGAGGGCGACCGGCCACACUGGGACUGAGACACGGCCCAGACUCCUGCGGGAGGCAGCAGUGGGGAAUCUUGCGCAAUGGGCGAAAGCCUGACGCAGCGACGCCGCGUGGGGGAUGACGGCCUUCGGGUUGUAAACUCCUUUUACCACUCACGCAGGCUCCCAGUUUUCUGGGGGUUGACGGUAGGUGGGGAAUAAGGACCGGCUAACUACGUGCCAGCCGCCGCAGUAACAC
rnacentral:rRNA from 1 species